GCAAAAUUGUUAUUUGUCUGAUUGCAGUUCUACAUCAAUGAAAAAUGGAACGAAACAUACCUCAAAGUCAAGGUCAUUAACGAGGUUAACAUGUAAACGUGCUAUUCGUAAACUAGCUAGCAGUAAGUAUUAUGAGUUUACAUAAUAGGUUUUGCAUAGUCAGUGGACCGUGUUAAAUGGCGGGAAAUUUGAAAAAAGAGCGAUAUUUAAAAUUUGGUCAGUAGACGUUAUUAACAUUUUAGAUAUACUUGUUAUACAAUUAGUAUGGGUUUAUUCAUGAUAUCCGCCGAUUGGACGUCCAAUGUAUAUAAACCUUUGCCUUGCUGACCUAUAUUAGAGUAUAUCAAAGUUCAUUUCUCGUCUCCUCCGUUUUUUUGCAGUCGUAGAAUACUGAUAAUGCUUAAAUUGUGGCAUUUAUCAGUGGAGCAGAUCCAUAGAAAUAGAUCUAUAAGUUGAAACGGAAACGGCUACCGUUUAAAAAAAACUCAUUACAUUUUUUUCUCUUUAGGUUUGGGUUUCUUAAAUUACUUUUUUACUUUUUUUCUGUGAAGUGUUUUACAAACACUAUUUUUUUUCUUUGAUCGUUGUAUAAAAUACCUUUGGUGGCCGGUUAUGAUGUCAUUUCGCGUUUUUGCGUUUUCACCUUUUCGCGUUUUGCCCUUUAGAAUAUGAAAGGCGAAAAUGCGAAAUGGUCUUAAUUGGCCACCAUUGUUAUUCCACCACCUUCAUCCGAGUUUAUUUCUGAAAUAUAUUUACCUACGAUGCAUAUAACAAGUGUAUUCGUUGGGUCUUUCAUUACAAAAUUAGUUACAGAGUUGCAGCCGAUUGCAUUGAGUGCGUAGGCAAAGGUAAUAUCUUUGGUUAGCUUUCUUGCUAGCUGAACCGUGAAGUCAUUAUUAGGUAAAGUAUACUACCCACCUUUCGAAGUAGCCUAGUCCUACAGACAGAUAGUGUGUUUAUCUGUAGGACUAGGCUGAGGAGGGUGGUAUACUUUACGUAAUAAUGACUUCACGGUUCAGCUAGCAAGCAGCUAACCAAAUUAGGAUACUACAUUUUCUUACACACUCGAUGCAAUCGGCUGUAACAUAAUUUAAAUAAUUGCUAUGUUUUCCCAUUUCAGGAUUUGGUAGGUUAUUGUGUGUUAGGGACCCUUCUUAUUGUGGAGACGGAUGGCAGUAUGGAAAUAUAACUAAAACAUGGAUAUGGAUGGGAUGAAGAACUUUAAACAAAAUUCUGAAAAAAAUCAAAUAUAAUGAAAAGGAAAAAAAA
rnacentral:lncRNA from 1 species